GUCUGUAGCUCAGUGGGUAGAGCACCUGCUUUGCAUGCAGAAGACCCAGGUUUAAUCCCUGGCAGCAUCU